UCUUUGUUUAGUAGCCAAGGAUGACUUGCCUUUCAUCAAUGCCUUGCAAAAAAGAAACUAAAUUAAACCCCUUUUUUAUGGUAUUGAAAAAUGAAUGGCAAGCAUCUUUGGCAACUUGACGAGCUCU
rnacentral:pre_miRNA from 1 species